UUAAACAUGUCACAGCUCGGUAAGUGUCUGCUAUCGGUAGACCUGAAGAUUCAUCAAUAGCUGGACAGUCUAAUAGCGGACUGCAGCUGCAGAUUUUGGAGUGAUUAGGGCAUUGGCCACAGAGCGAAAGAAACGGUAAGCUACAGAAAGCGUGAGAAAGAAAUUGGGAGAGAGUGCAAGGAGAGAUGAAGAGAAGGCCAAGCCUGUCAGCUUUGAAAUCUGAGACACAGUUUUGAGAAAGAGUACAGAGGAAGCCAGACAAAUAAAUGGCAAAAAGAGACAUUCUGGGUGAUUUAUCAUGGUCCGUUGAAAGUGAAUGCCCACCCUACAGGAAAUUAUAAAUGCAGUGACGUCUGCUCGUAGUG